rnacentral:rRNA from 1 species
UACGUAGGGUGCAAGCGUUGUCCGGAAUUACUGGGCGUAAAGAGCGUGUAGGCGGCCCGAUUAGUCCGCUGUGAAAGUCCAGGGCUCAACCCUGGAAUGCCGGUGGAUACUGUCGGGCUAGAGUCCGGAAGGGGCGAGUGGAAUUCCUGGUGUAGCGGUGAAAUGCGCAGAUAUCAGGAGGAACACCAAUGGCGAAGGCAGCUCGCUGGGAAGUGACUGACGCUGAGACGCGAAAGCGUGGGGAGCAAACGGG